UGGUUAGAUGAUGAAAACUGGUGAUGUACGUGUGAGUUAUAGAUGAUGAAUACUCUUGUCUGCAGUUGUGAGAUCCAG
rfam:Otolemur garnettii contig046508, whole genome shotgun sequence.